rnacentral:lncRNA from 1 species
UGUCCCAAAUGUCCAUAUCCCACUCCCUCCAUCCCACACCCUAAGCACCACCCGAAGCACCCUCCCAAGGUGAAACCCUACCCUAAGCCCAAACCUCACCCUCCAAAGCCACCAGUAGUUGGCCCUCCUAAACCUCCUCCGGUUGUCCCACCACCACUCCCACCUGUAGUUGUUCCCCAACCUCCUCCCUAUGUGAAGCCUCCGCCUGUGCCGCCCGUUGUCGGUCCACCCAAGCCUCCUCCGGUGGUGUACCCCCCCGUGCCGCCUGUUGUCGGUCCACCCAAGCCUCCUCCGGUGGUGUACCCGCCCGUUCCGCCCGUUGUCGGGCCACCCAAGCCUCCUCCGGUGGUGUACCCGCCCGUUCCGCCUGUUGUCGGGCCACCCAAGCCACCUCCGGUGGUGUACCCACCCCAGCCGUGCCCGCCGCCGCCGCCGCCGCCGCCCAAGGAGACAUGCCCGGCGGACACGCUGAAGCUGGGAGCCUGCGUCGACCUGAUCAGCGGCAUGAUACCCAUUCGGAUCGGGGCGGACGCCAAGUCGACGUG